rnacentral:rRNA from 1 species
CAGGCUAGUAGCUCGUUCGGACAGCCCGGGCCCGCCCACAGCGGACCCGGCAACCUAGCUCGCGCAGGUGAUCAUGAUUUGGUGCGCAGGAGGGGAGGGGGGUCUCCGGGUGGGGGUUUUGGGUCUUAGGGCGGAGAUUUGGGAUCGGCGGCCGCGCCGGAUAUAAGGGGAGGGAGGGAGGAGGCGUCAAGAGAAGGUAAACAGACCCUCUCCGCCGGCUCGCUCGCUCGCGCCUUCGUAGGGGGGCCGUCUAAGCAAGAAGACAGAGGCGGCAUAGGUUAGUCCAGGGGGGAAGGAGGUGGAGUGGGACAGAUAGGCAGAGUGGCGGCCAAUUCGCGCGCCACAGCCGCCCUUCGUCGUUGGCCACCACUCGGCCGCCGCCUUGGUCAGCCGUCCACGUUGUCAGUACCUAUAGUGAGUCUAAGACGAUCGACGAGUCAGAGGUCUACCGUUGGAAGCGAGUCGUCGUCUUCCGUUGUAGUUCGUCAAGGUCCUCGUCUUAGAAGGGUUGAAGGAGGAUAGGAACAGUCACCUCAAUAGUUUACUACUUUCUGGUGGUCUUAGAUCUUCUGAACGACCAUAAUAGGAAUUCUUAAGUGACCUGCGUUUCCUAAGACGUUUCUUCCUCGACGACUAAGUCGUUACCCAGUCAAACCUAGGCAGUUAGUUUAACGUCUAAUUCCUCAGUAACGACUAUUGUGAUCCUAGAAGCCACCCACUACGUGCCGUCUGUAGUAGUGUUCAGUAACGUUUCUAACGUAGGUAACUCUAUGGGGCAGCCCUUACCGUUCUGGAGUAACGGUUUAAUAACUCGUUGUACUGUGUCGGACCCCGGAGACGCGGUGAUUUCGUUCGUUGAGAUCUUCGUAACCCCAUACACACACUCCUCUAAGGAGGACUCGUGAACCUCGUCCUAGUUCACUUGCGACAAGACUGACGACACCAAGUCCCCUACUUGGUCUGUCUCGAUUCGAGACUUCAGGCAGAACGUCGUCAAUUUCGAGACAUAUUACGAGAACUGAAACGACUCUCGUUGAAACGUUUACUCUACCUCUCCUGGAAAUAUUACUUCCAUUAUACACUAUGACGACAUAGAUUCCUUCACCUCUAGUCUGUCCGUCGGAAACUUACGGAACACCGUUAACGUAGGUGUAUAAUACACGUGAAUCUAGGAAUAUACGUUUGGUAUAAGUUGGACUGUCGAUUACGACAGUUUCCUCUACUCCUUGGUCAACGUGACGUCCGACAACUCAAGACCUCAUGAUAAACACUCCUUCUCUAACUUGAGGUUCUCCUUAUACUCCCUAGACUACUACGAUUGAGUUGACAUUUAAUAGCGAAGUAACUCUUCCGGGAGGGAAGUGAACAAGGUUACGACGAUCUUUGAGACAACUUCGUUCUCCUUCUAGUUCUCGUUCUACUAUUACGAACCUUGUAAAGGUACUCACCGCCUUGUACGGAACCUGAGUAACGAUCUUGACAACCACUACGUUAACAGGGAGAACACUACGGUAAACACCUUCGAUUGUAGUGUUUCGGUCUGACCGCAACAGCGCUCCGUCGGUGAAAACGUAAACCAAGAUAGGAACUACCGGGUAGGGAACUCUUUGAACGAGGGGACCAUGUCCGGCCUGAACUAAAGAACGAGUUAUGUUACUUACUAGGUUUGUCGGUCCAUUUUCUGUGGUGACGUACCUGAGAACCUGCCCAUAAACUCGAAAACGUAAGAGGUACGUCAUGAUUAGGUUAGUAUAGUUUACGUUUGGAAGGAGCAUAGUACCGACAGAACGAUCUCUCAUCGUUUCUACAAGGUUUACACCGACUCUUUCAGACACCUCGGUAUAUAAAAGAACGGGUUCCAAUACUUCUACGUCUCGGCCGGAGUAGAAACGAGUGUGGAAUAGAAGGAUUACAAUAACGACGUGAGGAAUGACGACGCCUAGCACCACUAUACUGGGUACACUCCGAAGCACGUAGACGAAUACUUCGCGACUUACUCUAACAUUCUCAGUCAUUGUAUGGACUUUGAAGUUCGUAAUAUCCGGUCAAUAACGUCCUCUAGUACUCUUCUAACUUGGACUGUAAACUAGUGGUUUAUAAAAGUAGUCCGCUGUUCCUCUUCGUUUCGCUAGACGUCCGAAACGACACACCACAUGACGUCCAGUAAUAGGUCUUUGACUCGUCGAGUCUACGUUUCAGGUAUUAACGUGUCUGACGACUAGUCGACUACGAAGACAAAGAGGCGCAGAAACGGACGGUGUCACGAUGACAUGUACUUCUUCGUUACGAACGGUAACCACGAGAACGAAUACGGUGCCCAGGUCUAAAACACUUUAUGUACGGACUCAAAAAGUUCAUGGAACUCCGUCCGAACGUCUUAAUACUUCUUAUGGUUCAUACGAGGUAGAGACAUCCCCACCACCCACUAUAAACGGCACGGAACCUUCUAUUUUAAAACGGGAAGACACUACCCUAGUACUGACACGAAGAGUUCCUAGAGAGUUUGAGGGUCGAGUUGUCCAGACAGUUCGGGGGGUAAAAGAGUACGAAACCUCUGUAACGAGAACGUUAGCCACUCUUAAAACUCUUUAUGGACGGCAUACGAUACGGUUACGAAGUUCCCCGCCGACUCGAAGAACAACAAAACCUAGUUUUACUACUCCUAUACCAACUAAUACCAUUGGUCGAGUCUGCCCCUUAUAAACUCCGAAUGAGACCGUAUGAUGUCCCGUAUUUCCCACGUUUUCGAGUCGACUACUAUGGAAUACGUCCGGUAGAUAACGUCAAGUGACUUCGACAGAUGUUUCUAGCCUCGUCCCUACUCUCGCACUGUUUCCGACGUCAACGACAGGACCCCCUAGAACGCCUGUGUGAACCUGGUUAGAGCUUCCUAGACAAGUUCUCGGUGGAGAAGGUACAACUCAAGAACUCCCUCACGGAGCUAGACCUACUACUUCAGUCCCUCUGCCGCAGUACCUGGGUCCCCUACUAUUUGGUUCGCUAUCAAAGGAUCUGCUCUUUAAUAGAACGCAGCAGACAAUACCACCUACAACCCAAAACAACGACGCGGUACGGGGCAAACCGAGUCUACUUGUCUUCCCAUGGUUUCAUAUCGCAGUCAGUCAGCAUCCUUGUAACAGCAUCUACAGAAGACACCACCAAAUAAUAAAAGUCAGACAGUUCAGCAAUACGCAGUGUAAGCUGCCGUCACCCCAAAUACCAGUAACCUGCAGAACUUGUCGAUUUGAAUAAUAACAUAAGAUGAGCAAACACAACGCAUGAACGUGAUACGAAGA